rnacentral:rRNA from 1 species
UGGGGAAUUUUGGACAAUGGGCGAAAGCCUGAUCCAGCCAUGCCGCGUGAGUGAAGAAGGCCUUCGGGUUGUAAAGCUCUUUUAGUCGGAAAGAAAGAGUUGCAAUGAAUAAUUGUGAUUUAUGACGGUACCGACAGAAAAAGCACCGGCUAACUACGUGCCAGCAGCCGCGGUAAUACGUAGGGUGCGAGCGUUAAUCGGAAUUACUGGGCGUAAAGGGUGCGCAGGCGGUCUUGCGAGUCAGAUGUGAAAGCCCCGGGCUUAACCUGGGAAUUGCGUUUGAAACUACAAGGCUAGAGUGCAGCAGAGGGGAGUGGAAUUCCAUGUGUAGCAGUGAAAUGCGUAGAGAUGUGGAAGAACACCUAUGGCGAAGGCAGCUCCCUGGGUUGACACUGACGCUCAUGCACGAAAGCGUGGGGAGCAAACA